rnacentral:rRNA from 1 species
GUUGUAUAGUCAAGUAAUUAAGUGCAUGUGGUGGAUGCCUUGGCAGUCAGAGGCGAUGAAAGACGUGAUAGCCUGCGAAAAGCUCCGGGGAGGCGGCAAAUAUCCUUUGAUCCGGAGAUGUCUGAAUGGGGGAACCCACCUACUUUAAGGUAGGUAUUGCAACAUGAAUACAUAGUGUUGCAAGGCGAACGAGGGGAAGUGAAACAUCUCAGUACCCUUAGGAAAAGAAAUCAAUUGAGAUUCCCUCAGUAGCGGCGAGCGAACGGGGAUCAGCCCAUUAAGUUAUGUGUGUUUUAGUGGAACGCUCUGGGAAGUGCGAACGUAGAGGGUGAUAUUCCCGUACACGAAAGGGCACACAUAAUGAUGACGAGUAGGGCGAGGCACGUGAAACCUUGUCUGAAUAUGGGGGGACCAUCCUCCAAGGCUAAAUACUCCUGACUGACCGAUAGUGAACCAGUACCGUGAGGGAAAGGCGAAAAGAACCCCUGUGAGGGGAGUGAAAUAGAUCCUGAAACCGCAUGCAUACAAGCAGUGGGAGCACCUUCGUGGUGUGACUGCGUACCUUUUGUAUAAUGGGUCAGCGACUUAUAUUCAGUAGCGAGGUUAACCGUAUAGGGGAGCCGUAGAGAAAUCGAGUCUUAAUAGGGCGUUUAGUUGCUGGGUAUAGACCCGAAACCAGGCGAUCUAUCCAUGAGCAGGUUGAAGGUUGGGUAACACUAACUGGAGGACCGAACCCACUGUCGUUGAAAAGCCAGGGGAUGACUUGUGGAUAGGGGUGAAAGGCUAAUCAAGCCUGGUGAUAGCUGGUUCUCCCCGAAAGCUAUUUAGGUAGCGCCUCGGACGAAUACCAUAGGGGGUAGAGCACUGUUUCGGCUAGGGGGUCAUCCCGACUUACCAAACCGAUGCAAACUCCGAAUACCUAUGAGUACUAUCCGGGAGACAGACUGCGGGUGCUAACGUCCGUAGUCAAGAGGAAAACAAUCCAGACCGCCAGCUAAGGCCCCAAAAUCAUAGUUAAGUGGGAAACGAUGUGGGAAGGCAUAGACAGCUAGGAGGUUGGCUUAGAAGCAGCCACCCUUUAAAGAAAGCGUAAUAGCUCACUAGUCGAGUCGGCCUGCGCGGAAGAUGUAACGGGGCUAAAACUAUGUGCCGAAGCUGCGGAUGUAUACUUUGUAUACGUGGUAGGGGAGCGUUCUGUAAGCCGAUGAAGGUGUGUUGAGAAGCAUGCUGGAGGUAUCAGAAGUGCGAAUGCUGACGUGAGUAACGACAAAACGGGUGAAAAACCCGUUCGCCGAAAGACCAAGGGUUCCAGUCCAACGUUAAUCGGGGCUGGGUGAGUCGACCCCUAAGGCGAGGCCGAAAGGCGUAGUCGAUGGGAAAAUGGUUAAUAUUCCAUUACUUCUGUGUAAUGCGAUGAGAGGACGGAGAAGGCUAAAUCAGCCUGGCGUUGGUUGUCCAGGUGAAAGGAUGUAGGCAUGUAUCUUAGGCAAAUCCGGGGUACUCUAUGCUGAGAUCUGAUAGCAAGCUGUACUUGUACAGCGAAGUGGUUGAUGCCAUGCUUCCAGGAAAAGUCUCUAAGCUUCAGUUACACAGGAAUCGUACCCGAAACCGACACAGGUGGUCAGGUCGAGUAGACCAAGGCGCUUGAGAGAACUCUGCUGAAGGAACUAGGCAAAAUGGUACCGUAACUUCGGGAGAAGGUACGCUGUUGUUGGUGAUGGAACUCGCUUCCUGAGCUGACGACAGCCGCAGAAACCAGGCCGCUGCAACUGUUUAUUAAAAACAUAGCACUCUGCAAACACGAAAGUGGACGUAUAGGGUGUGAUGCCUGCCCGGUGCUGGAAGGUUAAUUGAUGGGGUUAGCGUAAGCGAAGCUCUUGAUCGAAGCCCCAGUAAACGGCGGCCGUAACUAUAACGGUCCUAAGGUAGCGAAAUUCCUUGUCGGGUAAGUUCCGACCUGCACGAAUGGCAUAAUGAUGGCGGCGCUGUCUCCAGCAGAGGCUCAGUGAAAUCGAAAUCGCUGUGAAGAUGCAGUGUACCCGCGGCUAGACGGAAAGACCCCGUGAACCUUUACUGCAGCUUGACACUGAACUUUGACCUUACUUGUGUAGGAUAGGUGGGAGGCUUUGAAGCUGGAACGCUAGUUCCAGUGGAGCCGUCCUUGAAAUACCACCCUGGUAAUGUUGAGGUUCUAACUCUGUCCCGUGAUCCGGGACGAGGACCGUGUCUGGUGGGUAGUUUGACUGGGGCGGUCUCCUCCUAAAGAGUAACGGAGGAGUACGAAGGUGCGCUCAGCGUGGUCGGAAAUCACGCGUAGAGUAUAAAGGCAAAAGCGCGCUUAACUGCGAGACCCACAAGUCGAGCAGGUACGAAAGUAGGUCUUAGUGAUCCGGUGGUUCUGUAUGGAAGGGCCAUCGCUCAACGGAUAAAAGGUACUCUGGGGAUAACAGGCUGAUACCGCCCAAGAGUUCAUAUCGACGGCGGUGUUUGGCACCUCGAUGUCGGCUCAUCUCAUCCUGGGGCUGAAGCAGGUCCCAAGGGUAUGGCUGUUCGCCAUUUAAAGAGGUACGCGAGCUGGGUUUAGAACGUCGUGAGACAGUUCGGUCCCUAUCUACCGUGGGCGCUGGAAAUUUGAGAGGAUCUGCUCCUAGUACGAGAGGACCAGAGUGGACGAACCUCUGGUGUACCGGUUGUGACGCCAGUCGCAUCGCCGGGUAGCUAUGUUCGGAAGGGAUAACCGCUGAAAGCAUCUAAGCGGGAAGCCUACCUCAAGAUAAGAUUUCCCUAG